GUCUAAAUUGGAAUAAAAACACCCAGGAAAAAAACCUCGACUAAGGUUCUCAUAAUUCAUGCAUGAAAGGGUUAAAGUAAAAAUUUGGUAUUUUCCUUCAUUUAAGUUACUGACCAUGUCGGUGUUUGUUAAAAUGCUCAGAGUAAAUUAAACUAAAGAAAUAAACAAAAGAAUUAAGUAAUUUUAUUUGUACAUGUCCACAUGUCCAUAUUGUACAUGUGGACAUGCAGAACACACUGAAAUUAGCCGUCUUUAUUUCACCCACCUACAGCUGAACAUGCAGGAACACACCAACACACUGCAGACUAGGAGCAGUAGGAUGUGUAGUAGGGGUGAGUGCCUUGCUCAAGGGUACAUCAGACAACAAUUUCUCUGCUUAGUUGUGGGAAAGAUUAUUAUACAAAAGAAAAAAUGAAAUUAAGAAAGUAAUAC